CGGUGCCAGCCGCCGCGGUAAUACCGGCAGCUCGAGUGGUCGUCGCUUUUAUUGGGCCUAAAACGUCCGUAGCCGGUUUGGUAAAUCUGUGGGUAAAUCAACUAGCUUAACUAGCUGAAUUCUGCAGAGACUGCCAGACUAGGAACCGGGAGAGGUGUGGGGUACUCAAGGGGUAGGGGUAAAAUCCUGUCAUCCUUUGAGGACCACCAGUUGCGAAGGCGCCACACUAGAACGGAUUCGACGGUCAGGGACGAAGCCUAGGGGCACGAACCGGAUUAGAUACCCGGGUAGUCCUAGGUGUAAACGCUGUGAACUUGGUGUCGGGAGUCCGCAAUGGGCCCCCGGUGCCGGAGUGAAGAUGUUAAGUUCACUGCCUGGGGAGUACGGUCGCAAGGCUGAAACUUAAAGGAAUUGGCGGGGGAGCACUGCAACGCGAGGAGCGUGCGGUUU
rnacentral:rRNA from 1 species